rnacentral:rRNA from 1 species
UACGUAGGGGGCAAGCGUUAUUCGGAAUUAUUGGGCGUAAAGGGCGCGUAGGCGGCUAGAUGUGUCAAAGGUGAAAUCCCUCGGCUCAACUGAGGAACUGCCUUUGAAACUGUCUGGCUUGAGGCCGGGAGAGGGUAGCGGAAUUCCCAGUGUAGCGGUGAAAUGCGUAGAUAUUGGGAGGAACACCAGUGGCGAAGGCGGCUACCUGGACCGGUUCUGACGCUGAGGCGCGAAAGCGUGGGUAGCAAACAGG